rnacentral:misc_RNA from 1 species
AUAUAAGUGUUGGCAAACCAAACAAAAAGGGCUUAGGCCAUUUUGGAGAUGGGAAGCCUAGUUUCAAGCCUAAUUCAGUAUGGAUGGAGGCCUGCUAUUUGAUGAUCCACACUCUAGGCCCUGUAUUUCUCAACACUAACAAUUUUCAAGCUUUCAUUUCGGAGUUGCUGGUGAACUUGCCUUAUGAAUUUCUAUCUUUCAGUGCAACCUGAUGAAUAUCAUUAGCAGUGAAGGUUUAGAUAAAGCUACUUAUGAUAGCCAAACUACAAUGAGUAGGUGUCAAAUGAACUUUAUCUUUUUGCUUCCUUUCUCUUUUAUUGCAGGAUGGAUAUAGAUUAUUAAAGGUUAAAAUUUCCUGGUUUAGUUCAUUUUGUAUUCUUUAAAAUAUUCCUGGGAAUAUAAUAGGUGAUAUCUUAUGGAUUUUUUCCUGCAGUAAACUCUCUAAUUGUUAUUUCUCAU